UUUUCACCAACAUGUGACCUCAAGAAGCAGGGCCAUGUCUCCCUGCUCUGGAGUUCCAUUGACGUCCAAUGCAGAACCUGGGGCCAGAAGGUGCUGGAGACUUGGGAGGAAAAGAGGGAAGGAGAGGAAGAGAGGAAGAAAAGAGAACAAAGACAGGAGGAAGACCAGGAGAGAGAAGGCAGUGGAGAGAAGGUGGAGGGCUGGAAGGGAAAGAGCAGGCUCGAUCUGCCAACAGAGCUGGCCGUGCACACAGGUCCAGUGCUUACAUGCAGCCCUCCUGUGACUGUACUUUUGUUUCACCUUUCUGAAGACAAAAUUGGCCUUUCCUGAGGGAUGGGUCUCUGGGCAGCAGGGCACUGGAGUGGCCAAGACUUCAGGGCUGCACACUCCGAUUUCCAGGCCUAGCUCCACGUGACCCCACUCACGUGCUUUGUAAAGCACGGGUGACGUUAUUCUGAGCAUGGACUUGCAGAGAGACACGUGAUGCUCAGAUCUGGAUACCUGGAGGCACCGUGAAAAAGGACACCCUCCCUUCCCCCGCCUCCGUGGUCACCGAAGACCCGGUAUCCAAACCUGGAGAUAUCUGAGAAACCACAGUGACUCCUCCAUCACAUCACUUCAUGUACUGCGCAGCAAACUACCUGACAGGAAGCAACUCAACGGAGGAAGAGUUCAUCCUGGGUCAGUCUGAGGACGCAGCACAUCAUGGAAGGAAAAUGCGCGAGGCAGCUGCAUCCACUGUCAGGAAGCGGAGAGAGAAGAAUGCUGGUGCCCAGCUCCCUCUCUCCGUCUUGUGUAGCUCCAGAUCACCUGCCCGGGGGAUGAUGGUUCCACCAGCUCAGAUGGGUCUUUGCACAUCAGUGAACAUAAUCAAAAUAGUCCCCCCAAAGGCGUGCCUACAGCGAUCUGUCUACGACCUAACAAUGCAGUUAUAUCCAGGUGAUUCAAGAUCGUAGCUCACCUUAUCCUAUCCUGUCAGGCUGAUGACACUAAUAUCACCUCCCCCCUCACACACACACACACACACACACACACACACACACACACACACACACACACACCUACAGUCACAUGGAUCAGGUUGGCUCCAGUACAUACAUCAAGGAAGAUCCAGGUGUCCUGAAGACAAGGAGAAGUAUGAUCCUCAGACACGAUCCCUCCAGGAAGGAAGGGAUCAGUGGAGUAUGACACAGGGGCAUGCCCAGCUUCUGGUCCAGAGGGACAGCUUCAGGCCCACCUUCUAACGAAUGGCAGGGAAUCUGCCCCAGAUUCCAGGUUUUACAAACCAAUUAGAUUACCCUGGCGGAACCUGCUGGAGCCUGCUGGAGCCUGCUGGAGCCUGCUGGAGCCUGGUGGAACCUGCUGGAGCCUGCUGGAGCCUGCUGGAGCCUGCUGGAGCCUGCUGGAGCCUGCUGGAGCCUGCUGGAGCCUGCUGGAGCCUGAUUCUCUAUCCUGUUACUUAGCAUGUGACUCUGAAGUUCAGGUAUCCAAUCUGCUAUGUGGCCAUCAUAUUAUUAAUGCCUGCUGGGGCUAUGGAGAGAGUUGAGAAAAGAUUAUUGCUAAGUGUUGGGUACAGUGUCUGUCUCCUAACUAUGUAGCAUUGCUAUUAACCCUCUGUGGCUGUCUUGUAAGGUGCUUUCAAAGCUGAGCCCUCAUGGGUGGGAUGUGUAUAUGUGCAUCCGCUGCAUUUCGUGUGUCAUUCGCACUCACCCGUGUAGAGGCUGAGGUUUCUGUCACAUGUCUUCCUUGAUUUCUCUCUACCUUAUUUUUUGAGACAGUCUCUCACUACACCUAAGGCUUGCCUUUACCAGAGAGGCCUAGGUACCUUCUUGUCUCUGCCUGACCAGUGCUGGGAUUAAAGACAUGUGCUGUCCU
rnacentral:lncRNA from 1 species